CGACGGUGGGCUCGGCUAGGCUAGGCGGCUGGGGAGCAGGGAGCGGAGCGGAGCCAUCUGGGUAUCCCAAAAUAUUUUAUCCUGAUCGAGAGUCUAAUUUUAACUUCCUAUCUGUGCCCACCUGCAGAUGAUUUUAGUUUGCAAUCAUGGGAUUUCUCUAGGUUUUGGCCGUACGUGGUGUUUUAUUGUCCAGGAAAGACAAGGAGCUUAUUUUGCUGCAGCUUUAGAAGAGCUUAGUGUGGCGAGUGCGACCCACGCGGAGGGGAGAUGGCACGGGGAGUCGGGACCAGAUCACCACGCUUGGGUGCUCUGGUUCUAGCAUGGUACCAGAACGGGUGUGUAGAGGAGGCCAUGCAGACAAGAAGCAGCCAUGGAUAUGGAACAUGAGGGGAGCUAACUGGCAGCGGCCAAGCUUGACCGCUGUAGAGAGGAACAGACAGGUCGUGGCAUCUCGCUCAUCUCUUCUGUGUCUUUUGCUGCUUCACUGAUAUUCAUCUGCCUCGCGGUCACCUAACUCUUCGGUGAGGUCAGCGCCGGCUCUGUCUGGGUCUUUUUCUGCUUUGUCACCGUCUCCCUUAAAAGGUGCCCAUUGAGCCAACAACCAUCAGAUUAAUUGUUGUCAUGGUAUGCUCUAGCUAGCACUCCUGUGUUCUGUUCAAGAACUACUGGGUGGAUGAAAUAAUUUUUUCCCUACACGAUCUGUGAGAAGUGUUUGUUAUAUGCAGGCGUGCUAUUUGGGUUGUUGGCAAGAGAGUUUGGAAUGGCCGUCUGCUCCAGCUGUGCCUGGAGCGCCACAGCCAUGGAGUUCUCGGACAUCCCCAUUGCCUGCAACGCGACUCCUUCAGCUCGGUACCAUGCCAUGAUGCCUUCAGUUUGAGGCCUCCGCUUCCUUCCUAAUUUGUUGUGUGGCUGCGCUCUCUGUUACUUCAAGCAGCAAGGGACAGUAUCACCUCCUCCCAUCAGCGAACGGAUGCCUAUGCAUUCCCAGAGGGUGCUCACAUUCAAGUGAUAUGUUACCCCAAUAGAUAUCAGGAGAAUUACAACGUCACCAUUCUAUCUUUAUGUUUUACAAUUGCAAACACUUAUUUUCAAUCCUCCAGUAGGUGCCUAGACUUAGAAAAAUAUUUCAUUGACGAGGUAUUGAGGUUUCAAAUCAAUUGAAAACAUCGUGUGAAUCUGUUACAUAUGAGUUGUUUUUGGAAGAAAAGUUGUGUCUUUGUUUAAUGAACCAGACAUGCUAUUGGAAGGACUGCACUUCUCUUAAGUGGGGGUGCUUCACUGGAUUCGUUCUUUGACAAUCUGGUGUGGACAGGAUGCAGAUUUUGGAAGUUUUACUGUUAUGCUUCUGUUCUGACUGUUGGUUCGGUUCAUUACAAGCUACUUAUGAUCAGAGUGACUCAUCAACUUUUAGGAUAUAUGGAAAGAUCUGAACCAUGGAUUUUGGCCGACAGCAUCUAGGUUGUUUGUUGUAAAAAAGCAUCUUAUAUAUAUGUGUGUGUAUUGUAUAUACUGCGUGCUAAGAAUUCAGCUAAUGGACUCUAUUACACCAUGGCCUGUAGGGCGCACAUGCAGGAUGUGUAAGUGAAAGUUUUUUUUGUCAAGGAUGGCAUAGCAAUUUGUUUUAA